AAAUUAAAUAAACAUUCUACCAUUGUAUAUUAUAUUAAAAGGGUAUAUGUCGGUGGUAUUUCCAACACCACCUCUCAACUUUUGGGUUUUUCCAUUUUUGAUCAUUUUUUUUUGAAAUUUAUUGUUUUGGCUCUUAUGCUUUUGGUGUGUUGUUUCUUAAAUACCACCUCCUUUUUGCAAUUUACAGUUUUAUCAAGUUUUAAACUUUGCGUUUUACCACUUGCACUAUUACUUCAUUGUUAGCAUGACUACCCCCUUAAGUUUUAGACUUUGCAUUUUUACUCCUUUCACUAUUACUCUCUUUUUACACCUCCUUGACUUUGAAAAUCUUAACAUACCCGUGUCGCAACACAAGUAGCUCUAAUUACUAAUUUUUUUAUAUAAUAUCAGUGAUUCCCUUAAAUCCAACUGUCUCAUUUUGACUUUUACAACAGAUUGCUUCCAUCUCCAGUUGUCUUUUUAGAACUUUUAAAACAGAUCCAAUCCAAGAGCCAUAAGCAAAGAGACCGGUGAAUUUGAUUAUUUCACUAAAAAUGCACGUGCCACUUGCUCAAAAAAUAACUACAAUGUAAACCCCAAUCUAUAGUCCAACACACACCAAAAAAUACCAAUUAACCCACAACAACAAUUUACCUCGUUAGGCUUUCAUAAAUCAAGUGUUGGUGUAUUUAUCAAAACUUAACAGCCUCUAAAAUCUAACCUGUUUGACCCACCUCGUCAGUCAAAGCUGCAACAUAAGAUUGUAAAUUAAAUACGCAAUCACGGUAAUGGAACACCAUGAAAGCUAGUAACAAAAUGUAUAACACAGGUAAGUUAAUAUUUUCCCACAUUAGGGAUUGUUAUUACGCUCUUUGCAUGACUGCGUGCGGGAUGUUUUGUGGGACAUUCUGAGAAGAGCUUGAAUUUUGGCUAAGAAAGAGGCUUCUGUGAAUUUCCUUACGGACCUUAUGGAAGGGAAAUCUACUCAGCGACCAGUGAAUCUGCUAGUCUUUGGUUGGGCUAGGGGGAAACAUGCUUGUGUUGACCUCACGGGGGUUUCCCCUCUGGUUGGUCUAAGGGAAAACGGGUUCGUAGUUGGUCUCCACCCGGUUCGGAAACAAGCACACAAACGGAGACCACUCCACCACCGCCACUGUAUGCUAACAUCCAACACUCUUAAUCCUUUUAAGCUAAAGCGUUUUUUGUUUCUUUUAAAUGUCACUACAAGAAUGGGAGGCCAUUAGCGGCGACAGGCCUAAUGUCGCCGCUAUUGGUCGAUCCGCGUCACAGACCCUGAGACCAAACCCCAGCCAUUGAUCAAAAUCCUGAUCUAACGGUUGGGGAUUUAAAAGGCAAUACCGGCGACGAAAAGUAGGUCAUUAGCUGCGACAGCUGUCUCCGCUAAAAGUGUGUGUCCCACAUUAAAUCCUAGCCACACAAAUCUUAUCCUGGUUAACCUAAUAGCGGCGACAAGUAAUCAAUACGGCAACAGGCUGUCGCCGGUAAAAGUGAAAACGUAACAGAAGCUUUAUCAGCGCCUUUCCCUCUCUCCUCUUCACUUUUCCCCCCAAAACUCUUGCUUCCACCGCUGGAGACACUCGUUUUUUUUGCCCAAUCGGUUAGUUUAACUUGUUUUAUGUUACAUUUCUUCUCUACAUUUGUUAUAUACAUGUUAUAGGCUUUAAUUUUUGCUCUUUUUUGUGUAUUUUUGGGUUUGUGGAAGAAAAUUCGGAUCACCACCAUCUCUUCUCCGGUCACCACCAUCACUUUUCCGGCACCACUUCGUCUCCUCGGUCUUCAUCUCCUUGAAACUUGAAAAAUACGGGAUUAUGUUUUCGGGAUUGCUGAUAUUCGCUUAUCUUAUGGCGAAUGUGGCCCCCUAGGGACAUGGGGUGACGACGCUACGCUGGUGAUCCACCGAUUCCUCCUGGUGGAUUUCGUGGCACACACGAGACAGACGCGGUUCCCCCGAAGAAGGUUAGAGGGAAAGCAAAAAACGAGAAAAUAAGGCGUCUGGUAAAGGGGGGGGGCUGUAUCGCUUACGUUUGACAGACAGGUCACGUAUACUCCUGUUGGUAAAUCAAGAGAUCUGUUUUCACGGGAGGUCGGCCUGUAUAUGUGGCGGACCAUCCCGUUCGAUAAAAUUGGAUGGGAUAACGUUGAACAACAUUACAAGGAUGCCUCAUGAACCACUUACGGGUAAAUAAGUUAUAUGCAUAAAAUUUUAUCAAACAUUUAAGUACAUGCAAAUCUAAUUUAUAUAUGAUAUUUUAACUUUUUUAUUUAAUUUGUAGGAAAAUUUCAAUUUUGAUGAAGUGGAACGUGAUUUAGAGGCCAAAAACUUGACGGGUGGUAUUAGGGCUGUGCUUAUGAAGCGGUACUCUGACCGCAAGUACGAUGCUAAAAAAUUAUUUAAGAGCAAGGGAGGUUACAAUGAUAUUGCGAGCGCAAGUGCAUACCAUCCCACGGAUAUGCCCUAUGAUGACUGGUUGAGAACCAUCGAAGGUUUCCGGGACGAAAAAUAUAUUAAAAGAAGCAAGGCCAACACACUAGUACGCGAGAAACAACAAUUCCCAUACCGUGGGGGGACAUCGUCGUACGGUAGCACCGCCUAUAAAAAUGUAAUGUUUUAUGUAUGUGUGCGUGUGUGUAAGCUUUUGUUUAUUUAAUGUCUAAUCUAAGUUUAAUGUUAAACAGGAGAUGGAUUGGGUACCUAUGUAUGCUAAAAUCCACACGGACAAUCAAGGGAAUUGGGUUGAUCAGGUUGC